rnacentral:rRNA from 1 species
GUUCUCAGUUCGGAUUGUAGGCUGCAACUCGCCUACAUGAAGUCGGAAUCGCUAGUAAUCGCGGAUCAGCAUGCCGCGGUGAAUACGUUCCCGGGCCUUGUACACACCGCCCGUCACACCAUGAGAGUUUGUAACACCCAAAGCCGGUGGGGUAACCUUUUGGAGCCAGCCGUCUAAGGUGGGACAGAUGAUUGGGGUGAAGUCGUAACAAGGUAGC